UGGAGGGUUCUAGAAGGCGUGACGUGGGGUCGAGAGCGGGAUCGGAGGCUGGCGCCUUUCGGCAGUCGCUGUGGGUGCAGCUGCCGGGCCUCGGGACGCGGGCGGCCGAGGCCGCCGUCGCAGCCUCCUAGUCUCGCCGGCUAUGGCUACGCUCGGCCGGCCCUUUAGCGGCCUCCCUCUGAGCGGCAGCUCGGACUUCCUACAGCCGCCGCAGCCGGCCUUCCCCGACCUGGCCUUCCCGCCAGGGGCUGACGGCGCAGACUUGGCCCCGCGAUCGGGACCCCGCGGAGUCCCUAGCAGCCCCACCGGGAGUGCGGCGCGCGGACGUGUUUCUGUUCACUGUAAAAAGAAACACAAGCGAGAGGAGGAGGAUGAUGAUUGUCCAGUAAGAAAGAAAAGGAUAACUGAAGCAGAGCUCUGUGCUGGUCCUAAUGACUGGAUUCUUUGUGCACAUCAGGAUGUAGAGGGGCAUGGAGUAAAUCCCUGCAUUAGUGGCCUUUCCGUACCUGGGAUAUUAGAUGUUAUUUGUGAAGAAAUGGAUCAGACAACUGGAGAACCACAGUGUGAAGUUGCCCGAAGGAAGCUUCAAGAGAUUGAGGACAGGAUAAUUGAUGAAGAUGAAGAAGUUGAAGCUGACAGAAAUGUUAACCAUCUCCCCAGUCUUGUCCUUUCUGAUACCAUGAAAACAGGUUUGAAGAGGGAAUUUGAUGAAGUUUUUACAAAGAAAAUGAUUGAGUCUAUGAGCCGUCCUUCCAUGGAGCUUGUUCUCUGGAAACCCCUCCCU